GGGUGCGUAACGCGUAUGCAACCUACCUUAUACAGGAGUAUAGCCCGGAGAAAUUCGGAUUAAUCCUCCAUGGUACUGAUAAACCGCAUGGUUUUUCAGUUAAAGCUUCGGCGGUAUAAGAUGGGCAUGCGUCCUAUUAGCUAGAUGGUAAGGUAACGGCUUACCAUGGCUACGAUAGGUAGGGGGCCUGAGAGGGUGGUCCCCCACACUGGUACUGAGACACGGACCAGACUCCUACGGGAGGCAGCAGUGAGGAAUAUUGGUCAAUGGGCGCAAGCCUGAACCAGCCAUGCCGCGUGCAGGAAGAAUGCCCUAUGGGUUGUAAACUGCUUUUAUUUGGGAAUAAACCUUUCUACGUGUAGGAAGCUGAAGGUACCAAAUGAAUAAGCACCGGCUAACUCCGUGCCAGCAGCCGCGGUAAUACGGAGGGUGCAAGCGUUAUCCGGAAUCAUUGGGUUUAAAGGGUCCGCAGGCGGAUUUAUAAGUCAGUGGUGAAAGCCUACAGCUUAACUGUAGAACUGCCAUUGAUACUGUAAGUCUUGAAUUCGGUCGAAGUGGGCGGAAUGUGUAGUGUAGCGGUGAAAUGCAUAGAUAUUACACAGAACACCGAUAGCGAAGGCAGCUCACUAGGCCUGGAUUGACGCUCAGGGACGAAAGCGUGGGGAUCAAACAGGAUUAGAUACCCUGGUAGUCCACGCUGUAAACGAUGAUUACUCGUUUUCGGCGAUAUACAGUCGGAGACUAAGCGAAAGUGAUAAGUAAUCCACCUGGGGAGUACGAUCGC
rnacentral:rRNA from 1 species